GGAAGAGCGACGCUCCCGGUGGGGCGCGCGGCCUUCAAAGCCGUUGGAGCGCUUUAGAAGCGCUCGGUGGGUUCGACUCCUACCUCUUCCGCCA
rnacentral:tRNA from 1 species